AUGUCCAUCUGUGGCAGCAAAAGAAGUAAAUCUAGGAUCUUCCAGAACCAAUUUCAUUGAAGCGAACUUCCCACAUCACAUUUUUAAAGUUUCCUCCUUGGCCUUUGCACCUCUCAUCUUUGUUAUUUGUUCAUUAUUGCCUAUUGGGGUGAUGCCUAUUAUUUUCUCUCUUUUUACAUUCCAAAGAUAUUUCCUUUACUGUAGAACAGGGGCAUCCAAGGGAGAAUCUCACCACGACCCCAGGUCUAGAGCGCCCGGAGUCCGCCAUCCCUGGGAAUGGAGGCGGCUUCGGCCUGGGGUCGUGGUGAGAUUCGUUGGUGGCUGCGCGAUUGUGGCGGAGUUGCAAGCAAACGGGUUUCAUCACCUUAAAUGGUUUUGAACCAAAGAAGCUGUAUUCCCUUAAAAAGACGGACAACCCAUCGUGUGAACUAUAGAGUUUGUGAACAAAUUUAUAUUGGGUUCAUAGUGGCGUCAUGCACGCAGACUCCUGCGAGUUCCCCUAAGUUCUUAGAGGACUGCUUUGCCUUUUGAUCUGAGAGUUGCAAAUUUCCCUAAAGAAUGGCCCUUGUGGAUAAGCGCUAAGUCAAGAGACAGUGAUUGGACAGAAUUUGUGAGGAAUUCGCCCCCAGAUCAUGAAAGUCACCCUGAACCCCGCCUCGUGGUGGCUCUGCUGGAUGGACGGGACUGCACUGUGGACAUGCCCAUCCUGAAGGACCUGGCCACCUGGCCUUCUGUGAGGCUCAGUCCAUGCAGGAGAUCCACGAGAAAGUUCUAAACGAAGUCGUGGGCGCCAUGAUGUACCACACCUUCUCCCUCACCAGGGAAGACCUGGAAAAUUUCAAGGCCCUGAGAGUGAUCGUGCAGGUGGGCAGUGGCUACGACAACGUGGCCAUCAAGGCUGCUGGCGAGCUCGAAAUUGCUGUGUGCAGCAUCCCGUCCGCAGCCGUGGAAGAGACAGCCGACUCCACCACCGGCCACAUCCUCAAUCUGUACUGGGGGAACAGGUCGCUGUACCAGGCACUGAGGGAAGGCACGCGAGUUCAGAGCGUGGAGCAGAUUGGCGAGGUGGCCUCAGUAAAGGCUCGCAUUCGUGGGGAGAUAUUGGGCCUCAUCGGCUUCGGUCGCACGCAGCAGGAGGUUGCAGUUCGAGCCAAGGCCUUUGCAGGAUGGGAUCGAGCGGUCCCUGGGUGUGCAUAGGGUCUACACCCAGCAGGAUUUGCUGUAUCAGAACGACUGCGUCUUCUUGCAUUGCAAUCUCAACGAACAAAACUACCACCUUAUCCAUGACUUUACUAUAAAGCAGAUGAGGCAGGGAGCAUUCCUUGUGAACGCAGCCCGUGGUGGCCUGGUGGACGAGAAAGCCUGAGCACACAUCCUCAAGGAGGGCAGAAUACGAGGGGCAGCCCUCGACGUGAAUGAGUCGGAGCCCUUUAGUUUUGCUCGGGGUCUGUUGAAAGAUGCCUGGAAUCUCAUCUGCACUCCUCUCACUGCCUGCUACAGCCAGCAGGUGUCACUGGAGAUGAGCGAGGCAGUUGCCACUGAGAUCCGCCAAGCCAUCAUAAGUCGCAUCCCGGGAAGCUUAAGAAACUGUGUGAACAAGGAAUUCUUUGUCACAUCAGCGCUUUGGUCCGUAAUAAACCAGCAAGAAAUUCAUCCUGAGCUCAGUGGUGCUACCUACAGAUAUCUGCCAGGCAUGGUGGGCGUGGCUCCAGGAGGACUUCUGCAGCCAGGGAAGACAUCAUCCCUGGAGACAUCCCAGUGACUGACAACCUCCCAACAGUGGUACAUCCUUCCCAAGGGCCCUCUCCCAACAGCCCACAAAACACGGGGACAGUCGAGAGCAUCCCAACGAGCAAUAGCAGAGAAUGCCGGAAGGUAAUUAUUCAGAUAUACUUGGGAACAGUGAAAAAUAGAUAAUCUAAGAGAAAAAGAAUCUGACGGCCUUUUUAGCUGAUUCCGGACAUAUGCAUCAUUGUUGUUGCAGUGUUAAAACAAGAGCUAGAAAACUGACAAUGUCGUCUGCUUACGGAAGCUCUGAAAGACUAGGGUGUGAUUUAUUAACGCCCAACUUCUAUUAUUGUGUGUUAAGUUUUUCAUCUGUGCAUCAAAUCACAAAGAAUAAAUAGAACUUUUCCCUUUAUCAGUCCCUUAGGCACAGCAGGUCCUGAACACCCUGCUUAUAUGUUGCAUCAGCAGUUCAAAUAUGAAAAUAAAAACCAUGAAGAGGAAAUCCGCAUCCUGUGACUGGAGUCCCUUCAGUCUACAGGGACUGGUUACCGCUUUUUGCUAAUAGGAAGAUUACAUUACUAGAAAAUGUGGAGUAAACUGUUUGCCUGUGGUAAACACCUGCAUGCAAAGGAUUGAAGACAGUACCGGCUCCUGUACAGAGACGCGUCUCUCACAUCUGAGCUGCAUAUUGAGCGGCAAGUUGGUUGUAAGUUCAGUAAAAGCCGCUGAUGAUGCAAAAAAAAAAAAAAAAGUAUUAAGUUUCACAAGUUGUUAGUAAUCAAGUAUAUUUUCUCAGUUUCAGAUCCUCUGCGAUUUUAUUGAGUGGAAAGUCUUGCGCUGAAAGGGUUCAAGAAAAAUAAUAUUGCAUUUCCUUAUGUCACAGGAAACACUUUUAAUGGUAACUUGUCAGACUAUGAACAAACCCACUUUUUAAGAUAUUGAUAAAGUCUUCUUUUCUUCACGUGAUAUUUUAUACAAGUACACUUCAGAUGUAUUGGAUGUGGCUGAUUUUAACAAAUCCUAUUAGAUUUGUAUCAAUUAGUUACAUGUUCUAUUCAUAGUCUUUUGUGAAUCAUUGCCUUUUUGUUUAAAAAGAUGGCCUAUUUUGAGCCUUUGUAUAAGUACAUUCCUGUUUUUGUGACAAAAGAAAAACUUUAAAUUUGUCCCAAAGAGAAAAAUAAUGGCUAUCAGAAGUAUGCUUUGUUUUAGUGCGAGUUACCGUUACUGUAUUUGUGUAUUGUAAAGGUGGACAUUCUAAUUACAUUAAAAUGUAAUUAGAAAAAAGUGCUUAAUGAACAAAAACAGAACAUAGACAACAAAAGAAUAUUAGAAGUGAUGCAUGAAGAAAACGAGAUAUCAAUAAAAAGAUUUUUAAAAACCAA